UACGGAGGGGGUGAGCGUUGUUCGGAAUUACUGGGCGUAAAGCGCGCGUAGGCGGACCAGAAAGUUGCGGGUGAAAUCCCGGGGCUCAACCCCGGAACUGCCGCCAAAACUCCUGGGCUUGAGUGCGGGAGAGGUGAGUGGAAUUCCGGGUGUAGAGGUGAAAUUCGUAGAUAUUCGGAGGAACACCAGUGGCGAAGGCGGCUCACUGGCUCGAUACUGACGCUGAGGUGCGAAAGUGUGGGGAGCAAACAGG
rnacentral:misc_RNA from 1 species